AGUGAACGCUGGCGGUAGGCCUAACACAUGCAAGUCGAACGGCAGCACAGGAGAGCUUGCUCUCUGGGUGGCGAGUGGCGGACGGGUGAGGAAUACGUCGGAAUCUACUUUUUCGUGGGGGAUAACGUAGGGAAACUUACGCUAAUACCGCAUACGACCUACGGGUGAAAGCAGGGGACAUUCGGGCCUUGCGCGAUUGAAUGAGCCGAUGUCGGAUUAGCUAGUUGGCGGGGUAAAGGCCCACCAAGGCGACGAUCCGUAGCUGGUCUGAGAGGAUGAUCAGCCACACUGGAACUGAGACACGGGCCAGACUCCUACGGGAGGCAGCAGUGGGGAAUAUUGGACAAUGGGCGCAAGCCUGAUCCAGCCAUACCGCGUGGGUGAAGAAGGCCUUCGGGUUGUAAAGCCCUUUUGUUGGGAAAGAAAUCCAGCUGGCUAAUACCCGGUUGGGAUGACGGUACCCAAAGAAUAAGCACCGGCUAACUUCGUGCCAGCCGCCGCCGUAA
rnacentral:rRNA from 1 species